rnacentral:tRNA from 1 species
GGAGAGAUGGCUGAGUGGUCGAUAGCCCCGGUCUUGAAAACCGGUAUAGUUUUGAAACUAUCGAGGGUUCGAAUCCCUCUCUCUCC